rnacentral:rRNA from 1 species
GAUGAACGCUAGCGGCAGGCUUAAUACAUGCAAGUCGUGGGGCAGCGCAGUGUAGCAAUACAUGGGCGGCGACCGGCAAACGGGUGCGGAACACGUACACAACCUUCCUACAAGUGGGGAAUAGCCCAGAGAAAUUUGGAUUAAUACCCCGUAACAUAUAAAGAUGGCAUCAUUUUUAUAUUAUAGCUACGGCGCUUGUUGAUGGGUGUGCGGCUGAUUAGGUAGUUGGCGGGGUAAUGGCCCACCAAGCCUGCGAUCAGUAGCUGAUGUGAGAGCAUGAUCAGCCCACACGGACACUGAGACACGGGCCCG